UGUCGUACUGUCCAUAUUGCUCUUCCUCAAUACUCAUGACUUUCUCAAGCCCCAUGUAGUCUCUAAGACAGCCAGUCAAGAUAAGUGAGGCCACUGAACUGUGCUACAAUAAGCACGAUGAUAUUCCCAACUGCAACUGUCAACAACCAGGCCGCCUGGAGUACAGACUUCAUGCUAGAGGGAGCCUAGAGAAGACACAAAUCUACAAACAUACAGGGAGAAUUCCAUGAGAAGAUGAAAGUGAAGACUGGGGUGAUUCUUCUGUACACCAAGCAACACCAAACAUUGCCAGAAAACCACUAAAAACUAAAGGAAGCUAAAUGAAAUGGAUUCUUUCUCACAGCUCUCAGAAGGAAACUACUCUACCAACACCUUGGUCUUGGACUUCUAGCCUUCAUGACUGUAAGACAAUAAAUUUAUGUUCUUUAAGCCAUUCAGCCUGUGGUACUUUGUUACAGUGGCCCUAGAAAACUAAUACAGCUAGGUUGCUUUAACAGCAGAAAAUCAAUUAAUGCACCAUAGCAAUAGAAAAUCACAUGAUUUUCAGUAGACAUAGAAAAAGCAUUUGACAAAAUUCAAUGCCUCCACCCACUUUCCUAGUAAAAAACAUACAAACAAAAACCACAACAGACUAGGAAUAGAAGGGAACUUAACCUAAUACCCAG